GAUUGUUGAUUCUACGUUGCAUUGUGUUUCUGUGUUUGAUAUGAUUAAAGCACUUUGAAAUGCCUUGCUGCUGAAAUGUGCUAUACAAAUAAAAUUUGAUUGAUUGAUUGAUGGCAGUGACUGCAUAAGAUCUCUUGAAUAUAAAUAGCUUGGUUCCGCAGAUAAAACACAGCUAGAUAAGCUUGCUUUGACAAAAAGAAAUGAAUGGUAGAAAGCAUCAACUUCUACCAUUUAGAAACCAGUCCAAAAUCAAAUCAUGCUAAUGACAACAUUUGAGUCACACAAAAGGCUUUCAGUUUAUCAGUCUACUCUCAUCCAAUCAAAUGGACGGGGGGUAGACUGAUACCAAUCAUGGGACUGGCUAUUGACACCUCUGAGCCAUAUUCCUUGCUGAGAGUCACCCACAGCAAGCAAACACAACAGGCAAAUAAUAGCCGGCCAUCAAGUGAAAGCUCUUACCAACAACAUGAGAAGAAUGGAGAUUGUUGGGCUUUUCUAAUUCAAAGCUAGACGCUUAACUUUGGGUUAUAGCUGAUGGCAGAGAGGCCUUGACAACAGACACAUGAAUAGAAGAGCAUUUAGCAGUGGCAGAUCGAAAGUGCAUCAUUAGUGACUGUAUGGAUGGGAUAGGGUGUAAAAAUCUCAAAGUGCCCAUUAGGGAGUUACACUGACAAAUGGAGACGUUUUGUUUCAAAUAUCUUCAAGCUACAAAGUGAAUUUAGACAAAAUGUGAAUGUUUUUAGAUGUAGUGCUUCACAAAAAUAUUCACAUACCGGUGACUUUUUUUCCGUUUUGUCAAGUUAUAUACAAACUGAGGUGACUAUGCAAUUAGUAAAUAAAUCCAAGUUUGAGAGAUAUCUGUCUGGAUGCUGAAAGCAGACUUAGGCUAUAAAACAACUAGUGAGCCACUGUUUUAACUCUUUCUUUAAAAGUGAACGAGUACGGCUAAACUACGAACCUUCCAAAAGAUGACUGGUUAGGUAAGGAGAACAUUAAGCAGAAGCAGCCAAACACAUUUAUGGUAAAUCUGGAGAAGAUCAGAGACCUAUACCUCAGAAAGCAUCUGUAGACAGGACAACUAUUAGUCGUGCAUUCCACAAAUCUGGCUUUUAUGGAGGAGUGGGGAGUGGAAAGCCAUUGAUGUUGGAAAACCAUGAGAAGUCUCUAAAGUUUGCCGAAAGAAGGGGACACAACAAACGUGUGGAGGAAUGUUUUUUGGUGAAAGAGACUAAAACUGAACUUUUGCCCUGCAUAUAACAUAGGUGUGGCAGACAAGUAAUACAACCCCCACUGUGAAGCAUGGUGGUGGUACCAUUAUGUUGUGGGGAUGCUGGUUUGUGUUAAUGGUAGCAUGGCUGAAACUAAAUGCAUAGACGAAUGGGCACAAGUUUCAUAUCUACACAUUUAAAGCUGGCAAGGACAUAAGCAAGAAUGGCGAUUUUACAGAAAAUUAAAUAGAAAUACUACAAACAAAAAUGCACCCCAUAGUUUUUCAAGAUUUCUACUUUUUUAAACACCGUGUAUCAUUUUUCUUCUACUUUACAGUUCUGCUCUAUUUUGUGUCGAACCACGUACAAUUCUGAUAGGUUUGUGGUUAUAACAUGACAAAAUGUAAAAAGGCUCCAACAGAAUGAAUACUUUUGCAAAGCACAGUGUGUCCCUUAAUGCAAAACAAGAAAGGGAUUAGGAUUCUUUGUUCUUUCAUUGAAUGUGAUAACUGACUACUGGUUUGACAUGCAAGCACUGUUGCCCUCCUGAGGUUGGAAACAAUCCUUUUCCAUGAAAUUAACUCUGUGUCAGAUAGGGUAGUGUUGUGUUGUGGUUCUCAUUGUUGGGCGGUUCUGUUCAGGCUUCCUGCCUUGUGGAUAUCCAAAUGUUAAAUCUGCAGUACAUGUGUUGCUGUGGGUAAAAUCCACUCCCAUCUGUUUUCACAGUCAACCAUCGAGUUUCCCUGCUACUCACAUUUUAUUACAUGAGCUGAAUUUCAAACAGUGUACUUAUCUUUGGCUUUUGUAUUCCUCAAAGACAAAAACAGCAAACACUAAUGAUUAAAAAGGAUAUGAUUAAAAGGACGAUCACUUAUACAUGUAAUGAUUUAAGGAAAGUUCAGAAAAAUGUAAUCUUUGUGUAGAGUGGAAAAAAGCUGGAUAAAGUGAAGUUGGGUUGAUUAGUAGAUGGGAAGUGGAAAAGAAACGCCUGCUGUUAACCAGCACGCUUACCCAGCUGCACAACUUCAGAGCCCGAGAUUAUUUUGAAAUGUAUGACUUUGAUGCACAAUUAUUUUCCUUAACGCGCUUAAAUGUCUGUAUGGUUCAGAAAAUAUCCUAUAUAUUUCUGGAGUCAUAGCUCAGAAAUGGAAAAAAGAAAUAGAGGAAAGGAAAAUACAAAAUAACUAAAAGUAUAUUAGGUUUUUUCAUCUACAAA